CUUUUUUCCCCUGGAUGUUGCAGAAUUGAUCAGCUUCUCCACAUCCUGGUGGAUGAAAGUCAGCAGCCUCUGCUUUUCCCUCCUGCAUUUCCAUCAAUACUCCUCCUGGUUCCAGACUCCAUCUCAUACUGUACGCAAAAGUGAUGUCAAGUGCAAACAGAGUAUGUAUCCAGGCAUGUGGUGCCGCACCAUGCUGGGCUGAAUGGCAGAGUAGGGAAGGAUGAGUAACGGAGGCGCUGCAGCAGCUGCACAGCCUCCCCAAAUGCUCGGAAAAGCUGAGUGGCGCUCUCUCCUGCUUGUGAGCCAAAUGCAUUGACCUGGCAAAAUCCAAGUUUGCAGCUCAGCAGCUAUUGAGCUACUUGCCUUACAAGGAGCAUUGUAGAAUUUGCUGUCAAGUGCAAAAUUUGGGGAAUAAGAAAAAGGGAUGCCUCAAAAGCAUUUCAGAC
rnacentral:lncRNA from 1 species